AAAAUACGAAACUACGAUUUAACUUGUAACACUGACUCGACUUCCUCAAGGUCGUUGGGAAGAAGCUGAACGAUGUGGUAUGAUGUUAUACCAAGUGGCGGGGUUUUACUCGGACUGAUGGCAUCAACGUUCGCAGUACCUCCAAUUGUCGCAUGGGUCGUCCGCAGUAAUAGAAAGUAUCCACGCCGUUACUUCCAUGGGUCUGAAGUUGACUACAGGCUGUAUGUGCGGGACAUCUAUAAAUUUGGUUCUGUAUACAAACCACAGGGACUGGAAGCUUUGGACAAAGCAUAGGGAAAGGAUGUAACAUGUCAUUGAUGGACAGCAUUUGUACGACUUUGUUUUAACUGUUUUUACUUAAAAUGUGCCUAGAGAGGUUUAAUUCUGUUUAGUAUUUACAAGAUGGCUGAAUGACAUUUAACUCCAAGAAAAUAAGUUAAAAACAAGGUUUCUUCCUUAUUGGACUUAUCACAGUUUGAAACAUUUGUGAUGGAGAGAAAACAUCUGUGUGAUUAUAUCAAAACUUGUACUUCAAAUGGACAGAUUGUUGGAUUGCUCUAAUUGGACUAAACUCUUGUAAUGGAUUGUGUGAAUGGAUUCUGUCGUGCUUCAUACCACUGCUGAUGAAAUUCAACAGGAUAUAGCAGCUGAUAUACUUGUUUAGGCAUCAGUCUUUUCUCAUUUUAAAGGAAAACUUGAAAAUGAUGACAGAGAUAUCGACUUGUGAUAAAUAAAAUAGUUCUAUUCAAGGAUGUACUGC